ensembl:snoRNA
GUACAUUUGUACCGGGAUGUGAAUGAACAAUCCCUGUUCUUUCUGUCUUUGUGGCAGCAGCCCAGAUUCAAGUGGCGAAUACAUUU